rnacentral:rRNA from 1 species
UACGAAGGGGGGCUAGCGUUGCUCGGAAUCACUGGGCGUAAAGCGCACGUAGGCGGCUUUCUAAGUCAGGGGUGAAAUCCUGGAGCUCAACUCCAGAACUGCCUUUGAUACUGGAGAGCUUGAGUCCGGAAGAGGUGAGUGGAACUCCGAGUGUAGAGGUGAAAUUCGUAGAUAUUCGGAAGAACACCAGUGGCGAAGGCGGCUCACUGGUCCGGUACUGACGCUGAUGUGCGAAAGCGUGGGGGAGCAAACAGGG